rnacentral:tRNA from 1 species
GCUUCCGUGGCUCAGUCGGUAGAGCAACUGAUUCGUAAUCAGUAGGUCAGCGGUUCGAUUCCGCUCGGAAGCUCCA